ACUCAGCAGCCGCGGUAAUACGGAGGGGGCGAGCGUUGUUCGGAAUUACUGGGCGUAAAGCGUACGUAGGCGGCGUGGUAAGUCGGAGGUUAAAGGCUACGGCUCAACCGUAGUAGGGCCUUUGAUACUAUCAUGCUAGAGUGUCGGAGGGGGUAACGGAAUUCCCUGUGUAGCGGUGAAAUGCGUAGAUAUAGGGAGGAACACCAGUAGCGAAGGCGGUUACCUGGCCGAUCACUGACGCUGAGGUACAGAGAGCGUGGGUAGCAAACAGGAUUAGAUACCCUGGUAGUCCACGCUGUAAACGAUGGACGCUAGGUGUUGGAGGAACCGACCCCUUCAGUGCCG
rnacentral:rRNA from 1 species